CUCUCCACAAAGUUCUCUAUGAAAAUGAGAAUCUUGAUGAUGCUGCAUCGGCAAUCAACGACUAUUCUUUCCCUCUCUCUCUCUCUCCCUCUGUAUAGAUUAUUUGGAUUCCAUCCAGAUCUUCUUCAGGUUUUUGGCAGUCUUUAUCAAGACAUUAAUAGAUCCACAAGCUUCUAUUUCAAUAAGUGAACAAGAGUCACAACAUCAAGAUCAGUAAGCUUCCACUAUGAAUCGAAUGGUUUUGAGCAAUGCCUUGGAUGACCUAGACUUCGUCCAUAAGUGGAAGCCAAAUCAUUCUAUCAGUACCAAUAUAGCAAGUUGGCAGCUAUUUUCACAUCAUGAUGAUAUCUUUGAUAUGUCCGUCAAUCACGUAUAUUUUUGGAUAUAUUUUUCAGUAUUGCCAAAUGAAAUUGUUGUUUUACGAAAA
rnacentral:precursor_RNA from 1 species